rnacentral:tRNA from 1 species
GCGCGGGUGGUGAAAUGGCAGACACGCUACCUUGAGGUGGUAGAGCUCGAAAGGGUGUGCAGGUUCAAGUCCUGUUCCGCGCACCA